rnacentral:rRNA from 1 species
CAAUAGCGUAUAUUAAAGUUGUUGCGGUUAAAAAGCUCGUAGUUGGAUUUCUGCUGAGAACGACCGGUCCGCCCUCUGGGUGUGUAUCUGGCUCUUUCUUGGCAUCUUCUUGGUGAACGUUGCUGCACUUGACUGUGUGGAGCGCUACCCAGGACUUUUACUUUGAGGAAAUUAGAGUGUUUCAAGCAGGCAUACGCCUUGAAUACAUUAGCAUGGAAUAAUAAGAUAGGACCUCGGUUCUAUUUUGUUGGUUUCUAGAGCUGAGGUAAUGAUUAAUAGGGAUAGUUGGGGGCAUUCGUAUUUAACUGUCAGAGGUGAAAUUCUUGGAUUUGUUACAGACGGACUACUGCGAAAGCAUUUGCCAAGGAUGUUUUCAUUGA